rnacentral:lncRNA from 1 species
GAAAAACACCAAACCAAAGAACAUGAAAUAAUUUCUAAACAUUUUUAUUUCAAAUCUCUUUUCACCCCUCCCCAAAAAGACAUGGGUAGGUACAGCAAUCAUAAAAAGGAGAUACAAACACAAGAGUCAAAUGUCUCUCGCACUGACACUUACAAAAAACUGGGAAUUGUACAUGGGGUUUCCAAACAGGACCUGCAGCAGCUACUAACGUCCCUUUACGAGAGUCAAACAUGCCUAUUAAUACAGUAUAUACAGACACCCCAUUCUGGAACUAAUCUACAGGGACAUCCCUAACCCCACCCCCUCUAUCCCCAGAAAAAUACCAAAACACACCCAAAGUGCAUUUGUUUUGUUUAUAUCAAAACCUCUUUCCCUUUCCCCAUCCCACCCUCAGACCCCUCCCACCCCAUUUAAGAUUGGCCUGCAAGUCUAUUUUAACCAUUUAGUAUUUUUUUAUAGUUUAUGAAAAUAAAUUAUACAGCAACUAUUUUAAUAAAUUAAGCACAAAAGGAAGGGUAAAAGAGGAAAACUAAAUGGGAAGACAAAAGCCAGGCCACGCUUUGGCUUGGAGGAGGGCAGAGGGGGGGCUAACGGAGACAGAAGUGGUUGCAAGGGGUGGCUCCCUUUCUGGUGAAAAAUUGGCAACCACCCCGAGCCCAGAAUGACACCCCUCUUCAUCGAGUUUCUUAAAAACAACCAAAAACGUACAGCAGUGGCUAUGCCACAGGCAGCACCAGUGUGGGCAUUCCAACAGCCAGCUACCCAAAGUGGCACCUGGACCCUACCUGUCCCUUGGACAGGUUCUGGGCCUAAGAGUGAGGGACAGGUCCCCGCCCAAGGGAGCACCAGAGAUGGAGGAGUGAGAGCAGGCUUCUGCUCCACCUGAGCUGGUUAGGGAGCUCAGGACGAAACUCUGAGCGGGGCAGUGUGGUAUGUGAUGAUCCCAGAGUCUGAGGAAGAGUGUCCUAAGUUCCUCACACUCUAUCUCCAGGAGGAACUACGAUCGCAGUCCAGCUGCAACCAAACAUGCAUGUCUUCCCGCCGUGGCUGGCUGCUUUCUGUCUGCCCCUCCAGGAAGAAACUGAGCGACACCUGCCAGGAAGGUCAAGAAGCAAUGAAAAGGACAAAGACAAUAUGAAAUCUGCAUGAAAAGACAGGUCCUUUUCUGGCAGAUUAGAGAAUCAACAUUUUCAGUACAACUCAUAACGCUACUUUCCUAACUGCAGUACCCGAGUCCCCAGCGCCUGUCUCUAUGAUCCAACCCCCAUUUCACUGCUCCCAAGACUUUGCUCUCCAUUUUAUCAAGGCCUCCAAUCAUUUUGUGCUGAGUGUGAAGGCUCCAAUGUGAAAGCAGGGUCUACCACAGGGACGUGCAGACUUGACCUUUGUGACCCAAUCAUUUUAUAGCUAUCGCAGCAUAGGAGGGGGGCACACUUUUCUUUCUUUUUUUUUUCUUUUUCUUUUUUUAAUAAAAAAGGUUUUACUCCCCAGGAGCAAAUAAAUCAUUUUGAACUACUGAUAAACACUGCUGCAGUGAAAAGAAAGAUGGCUACAUGUAUGCAAUAGCACAAAUUCAGUGGAAGAACAGCUGUGUUGACGAUUAGAGAUAAAAAUCACUUAUCCAUUCCCUCCUUUCCCACAAACCAAACCGAGGAUUCCCAUAGGGAAAAUGUCUAACUCAAUAGCUCCUCCCUUACAUGACAGGGGGUGUGUCAUUCUCUUAACAGUGGAAAACAAAUGCCAGGUCUCCGCCCAGUGGAGAUGCUCUUAACACCCUAACUGGUAGCAAGACUUCUGCAAAUGAGGACACACACACACACACACAUGCAUGCAUAUGCACACACACAGACUCAGACCUCCUUCCAGCAGCCAUAGAGCUUUAUCCCAGUGUCUUGUCCACUAACUUUAGGGCUCCAAAGCUAAGGGAGCGAGGCAGCAGGGAAGGGAAAGAUCUAACUGAAGGAAAAAGCUCCUCCUCGCCCCAGUUUCUGCAGGGAGCAGAGGGCUUCAAGCAGGCCAUGCUUUCCUGGGGGCCCUGGGGUGAGGGCUGACACGGCUGGAUUCCAGGGCACUUCUGGUUCUACUCCCACCUCUCACCCCUAGACCUAGGAACUAUAAUUACCCCCACUCCCUAAUUCUUCCUGGAUGUCUGUUACAGGGGUGUCUGCAGCUAUCUCCACACCAUCCCCAACCUCAAGGGGGGCUUACAUCAUUAGCCCAAGUGAACCACUUACCUAGUGCCCACACCAAAACCCCCGCCCGCCUACUCCUGUGCUACCAACAUAGCACACGAAUUUCAAGUAACAGCAAGUUGUAGCAGUAGUUGUCACUGGCUCACAGCAGCUCACUCUCAACCUGAGGAAGGUUACAGUAGAUCAGUCAUAAACAGGUGAGGGUUAUGCAGGCACUGAGGCCACUGAUAUCACCCACCCACAACUUAGGAAUCAACAGUGGGUCCCUAGAUGUAAGCCUUUUCCAAUUUGUGACUUGAAAAUACAACCAGAAAGAAAUUAUUUAUUUUUUUUGAGAUGGAGUCUCACUCUGUCGUCUAGGCUAGAGGGCAGUGGCGCAAUCUCGGCUCAGUGCAACCUCCGCCUCCUGGGUUCAAGCAAUUCUCCUGUCUCAGCCUCCCAAGUAGCUGGGACUACAGGCGCAUGCCACCAUGCCCAGCUAAUUUUUGUAUUUUAGUAGAGAUAGGGUUUCACUGUUUGGCCAAGCUGGUCUUGAACUCCCGACCUCAUGAUCCACCCACCUCAGCCUCCCAAAGUGCUGGGAUUACAGGCGUGAGCCACCGCGCCCAGACCUAGAAAGGAAUACAUUUAAAUGAGCUCUGCACAGCACUGGCGAAGGAGGGACGGGCCUGGUCAGGGAGGUGAAGGGCAGGUGCUGCCACACCUGCUCCUCUGCUCCAUUUACUCUCUGACCAGGCUGUAUCCCAGAGAGCUGGCCCAGCCCCAGUUCAACACGACACUCCCCAGGAGGAGAAAGGUGGGUGGUGAGGUUGGGUCACACCUCCUCAGUUGGUUUGUUUUGUACCUGAAUGUAUGAGUUCUCCAGAAGAAACCCCAGUAACACAGGGGGUGCAGAGGCUCUGCCUCCCUCACAUGGCCUGAGCUGACCAUAGUGAGGCCCUGGCAAUGGGCAGGAGCCUUGCUGACUCCUUUGGGCUUUGGGCUCCACCUCACCAUCAUAACCCCUUGGCACUCAGGUCUGCCUGGUGGCUGGGAAGCUUCCAUCUAGAAAACCGCACUGGAAAGGAUUCUUUAACCAUGUUGCUCUAACAGGGCUGUGCACUGUUCAGUACAUGCCAUGCAGAUUUCUGCUUCCUUGCUUUUGCUCAUGUGUUUUUCAUCUCACUGUCUGUCCUGCCAUUGACUACAACCCAAAGCCUCAGAGGCACAGAACUUUCCCAGACCAUCUGGUCUACCCUGAUCUUAUCUACUAUAAACGUCUUUAGAUAGUCCUUGAUUUUCUGCUUGAUGUGCAGCAGUCACCUAAAAGCUCCCUUAGGCCACAUAUUACGUCUUUUACCUUUUUUGUUUUCUACAAUAUCUAGCGCAAAGCCAGGCACACACACACUAAAAAAUAAUAUUAAAAUUAUGGGUGGUUGAAAAGGAACAAAAAAAAGAAAGAUCCCAGGCUGUAUAUCAGCCACCCAAGGAUCUCAACAGAUUCCAACUUCAGGCUCUAUAUUGGGGUGGCACUUCCUGCAAGAUGGCGAGUUAUAUUACUUGUACUCUCACGAGGCAACACUCACAUGCUAAGCCAAUUUCUGGGAUCACAAUCUUGCUUAGUUGAUAAUACUACCAUGGAAGCCAAGGAAAGAAGAGGUACCACAUGACAAAUCAGAGGUGGGCUGUGUUUAUGGUGCACAGCUCAUCUUGUGGGCCACCCUUCCACAGUCAGGUAAUGGUGCAAGUUUCCUCCCUGUUCAGCUACAAGGAGGAAGACUGGUCACUCCACGUGGGACUAAGGAAGAAGGCAAUGCUCCCAGAUGAGGCAGUCCUAUAAAUUACCAGGACACUGGGGCCCCACCCAAACCAUCAGGAAGCCACAAACCUGACAUUAGUAUCUGUCUUGUGACACGAGGCAACUAUAAGCAUGGGGAACCCAGAAAGAGAGUCCCAUGGAACACACGCAAAGGAGUCAUGAAGACCCAACAGCUCCACUGUUACAUCUCAAUAGCAAACCUCUCCCCAGAGCAGCUCUAUAAGAAAGCAAACUCACAAUGUCAUAUGAAUUGGCCAUGGCCAGCUGCAGAAACCAUUAAAGACCAUUGGAGUUUUUCUCCCCGCUCCUCCUGAAAGCAGGGACAGGCAGCUCUCAAAUCGGCAUCUGGCAGACUUUCCAGUGAGUGGAGACCAGCAGGAUCUGAUCCGGAAAUGUCUGGGUUGCUAGAAUGAACACAAGAAAAUACAGAAGCCCUUGCUACCUCCCAUCCCAGAAGUGGGAUGGCAGUGAUAAACCUAAAAACGUGAGAUGCGAUGCUCUCCUCUGACCUAAGGAAAUCCCGUGAGGGCUGCGUUCUGAGAGCUUCCUCUAGGAAGAGCACAACUGUGGGAGCUGUAUUUCUCACCUUCCUCCACAUUCCCCCUCACAAGCUGACAGGCACAUGGAAGUAACACUCACUCCUAAGUCAUGAGUACAGUUUGCCAUGAAGAACCUGGAAACAUGCUCCAUUAAAUUCAGCAGCCCAUGACUGGCUCUGAACCGCCCAGGUGAUGGGAAACACGAUUGCCAUGACAGCUGGCAGAAGCAAUAGGGAUGCUGUUACCAUGAUCAGAGUGACAUGUACAGUUAUCUCAAGGGGCAAUGGGUUGAGAGCAGAGGAAGAACGGGGUUAACUUCAGGUCAUGGAACUUAAGGAAUUAAGUAAAUCACAACUAGUACAGCUUCCAUGAGAGGUGUUUCUGAACUCAGGUUCCUAAACCUUAAAAAAGGAUGCAGGAGUCACUACUUCUCCCAGCUAAGGCCAAUUGGCUAGGUUUUGCCCAAUAUUCUUUUCGAGACCACCCACCCUCCUUUCUCUCCUGCUCCUACAACAGCUGCCCAUGGCAACAAGAGGCAGAUUCCCCCUUCCUCAGGAACUCCCAGUCCUUUGCAAACCUCAAGCCCCUCCUCCCAUCUUCCAGGCCCACAGCACAGACUCUAACUCUGCCUUUGGCACCAGCUGAAUGGCCGUCCCCUGUUCCCUCCUCCCACCCCUUCUUUGGACCUGCUCACCCUUCGCACCACUUUCAAUCCAACGGGCACAAACCCCAACUGCCUUCAAGCUUAAUUUGGUUCUUCAAAGCUGGAGCUUGGCAACCAAAUGCCUAGGUAGAAAAGGAAAAAAAAUUAAAACAGUUCAACAGAAUAGAACCAAAAUGGAGUGAAAUAACAGCCAGCCACUGGAGGUGGAGCAGCACACCUCAAAAGGAGAACGGAGCCUGGAGAGCUGAACGCUUCCAUGAGGGCCACAUGUGACUAGGGAUGCAGCAGUGGCCUUUGUCAGGGGGACCUGAGCAGCCUAUGACUUGGAUGACAAAACAAGGUCCUGAAAUAACUAAUAAAUACAUCCUACCACAUUGCAUAAAUUCUCUCUUUCCCUUUCCCUUACCCCUUCAUUUCCUACCCAUUUUUUCCCUGAGGCUCAAUUGCUCUAGGGACUGAAAAGGGAAGUAAGCCCCUGGAGUAACCCCUUUUGAACCUGGCAAGAAAGAGCUCUAUAUUUCUUUCUUUCUUUUUUUUUUUUUUUUUUGAGACGGAGUCUCGCUCUGUCACCCAGGCUGGAGUGCAAAGGCAUGAUCUUGGCUCACUGCAAUCUCCACUUCCUGGGUUCA